UCCAGCAUCUGGGAACUCCGCUCCUUUUCCUGCAGCACUGGGAAAAGAGGUCCCCAGAUUGUGGGGAAACAGAUCCCACCCUACCCCUGGACCUAAAUUCCCCAGAAGUCUUGUUUGUUCAUGUAUUAUUAGAUAGAGGCAAAAAAAUGAGAUGGGAAGGGAAGAUAGAGAAGAAAAGAGACAGAGAGAUACCUGCAGACUUCUUUCAUUGCUUGUGAAGCUGUCUCCCUGAAGGGUAGGACACCAGGUCAUGGCUUAAAUCUACUUCCAAUGAACACAGAUUCUGAAUUUGACUUCCAUCAUCUGCUCACCAAAAUCUGUUGUCACUUUGGAUGCACACUGGAUUCAGCUACUCCAGCAAGAAGUUCUCCAAAAUUUCACAUCAUUGACACUAGACUUCACCUCUGCAUCCAAUUUCCUGUGUGGUCUAGAGGAGUUGACUGCUGAGCAGAUAACAGGAAAGUGAACAGGACCAGUCAUGCUCCUUUUAAUCACAG